rnacentral:rRNA from 1 species
GACGAACGCUGGCGGCGUGCUUAACACAUGCAAGUCGAACGUGAUUUUUGUGGAAAGCCCUUCGGGGACGGAAGCGAAAUGAAAGUGGCGAACGGGUGAGUAACACGUGAGCAACCUACCUUACACAGGGGGAUAGCCGUUGGAAACGACGAUUAAUACCGCAUGAGACCACAAAGCCACAUGGCUUAGGGGUAAAAGAUUUAUCGGUGUAAGAUGGGCUCGCGUCUGAUUAGCUAGUUGGAAGGGUAAAGGCCUACCAAGGCAACGAUCAGUAGCCGGUCUGAGAGGAUGAACGGCCACAUUGGAACUGAGACACGGUCCAAACUCCUACGGGAGGCAGCAGUGGGGAAUAUUGCACAAUGGGGGGAACCCUGAUGCAGCGACGCCGCGUGAGCGAAGAAGGUUUUCGAAUCGUAAAGCUCUGUCCUAUGAGAAGAUAAUGACGGUAUCAUAGGAGGAAGCCCCGGCUAAAUACGUGCCAGCAGCCGCGGUAAUACGUAUGGGGCGAGCGUUGUCCGGAAUUAUUGGGCGUAAAGGGUACGUAGGCGGCCUAUUAAGUCAGGUGUGAAAGCGUGAGGCUUAACCUCAUUAAGCACUUGAAACUGGAAGGCUUGAGUGAAGGAGAGGAAAGUGGAAUUCCUAGUGUAGCGGUGAAAUGCGUAGAUAUUAGGAGGAAUACCGGUGGCGAAGGCGACUUUCUGGACUUUUACUGACGCUCAGGUACGAAAGCGUGGGGAGCAAACAGG